rnacentral:rRNA from 1 species
UGGGGAAUAUUGGACAAUGGGCGCAAGCCUGAUCCAGCCAUGCCGCGUGAGUGAUGAAGGCCCUAGGGUUGUAAAGCUCUUUCACCGGUGAAGAUAAUGACGGUAACCGGAUAAGAAGCCCCGGCUAACUUCGUGCCAGCAGCCGCGGUAAUACGAAGGGGGCUAGCGUUGUUCGGAUUUACUGGGCGUAAAGCGCACGUAGGCGGACUUUUAAGUCAGUGGUGAAAUCCCGGGGCUCAACCCCGGAACUGCCUUUGAUACUGGAAGUCUUGAGUAUGGUAGAGGUGAGUGGAAGUCCGAGUGUAGAGGUGAAAUUCGUAGAUAUUCGGAGGAACACCAGUGGCGAAGGCGGCUCACUGGACCAUUACUGACGCUGAGGUGCGAAAGAGUGGGGAGCAAACAGG